rfam:Callipepla squamata strain Texas jcf7180005234240, whole genome shotgun sequence.
ACAGUCUGAAAAUCACCUGCGGUCUCCCGUGGCCCCCGGUGAGAUAACCGUGCCGACAGCAUAGCGAACACCGAAGCUGAUUGCCCACGGCGUCGCUGUGUGGGGAAUGAAACCCGUGUUCCUACAGCG